GCCCGGAUGGCGGAAUUGGCAGACGCGUACGGUUGAGGGCCGUAUGGGGCAACCCGUGUGGGUUCAAAUCCCACUCCGGGCACCA
rnacentral:tRNA from 1 species